ensembl:lncRNA
GCAUGCUUUGUGAAUGCAUACUACUACCCCUUAAACAAAAAUACACCAUGGAAGUCAAAUCAAGCUAGUUUAUUUUAUCCAUAAUAUGAACAGGUAUAAAACUAACAAAAUGUCCCUUUGGACAGAACAUUUUCUACAGGGUGAGCUAGUUUGAUAAACAUGCACAAAUAAGAGACAUUGGACCAGAAAAACAACAAUGCAUUGUCACAAUUAAAAACAAAUAAGUUAAAGCUUAAACAUCAAAAAAUAAUGUCUGCAUAUCAUUGUAAAACAAAUAAUAGGUCUCAGUCUUGGUUUAUUCAUGUAACUAGUUAAACUAACAUGAUGUGUAAUGAAGCAUAUAACGUAGGUGAAUAAAUAUCAGAAUUAAUAGGGAAUGUAUAGGUCUUUAGGUCCUGUCGAUCAUAACAACCCACUUCACUAGCUGCAGGCAAAUUCAAAUCUGGACCUUGAAGCCAGUUCCACUGCUGUUUUUCAUUAUUUCCCUCUAAUCGGGCAUUGAUUUAGACAUGGGACACCAUGUGGGUGCAAUUCAUUUCCCAAGUAGAACAGGUCAUGGCUACAGAGACAGUCUUUUCACAACACUUUGAUACAAAGUUAUUUUUGUAGCAGGUUAGGAAAGCAUUUUCGCUAACCUUAUUAACCUCAGUCUCCUAACCUGCUACGAAAAAGUCACUUCGGUAUCAAAGUGCCGUGAUAAGCGUUUCCCCAUGGCUAGAACAGUUGCAGCUAAUGUCAAAGUGAGAUCAAAAGUAUGUUCGAGUGGCGUUGGGGGAAUUUUUGCAUUUUAGCUAACCCUAACCUAAUUCUCCUAACCUGCUACUUCCAUUUUUAUAACCUGCUGCGUAAAUUCUGCUAACCUGCAAGGAAAAGUCCCUUCUGACAAUCGCUGCAUCCCAUCUAGUCAACCGAUAGAGCAGCACUACGCUGGACCUCCAGGCUCAGAUUUUAAUACCCCUGCAUUAGGGUACUGUUUUUUGAAAUUAGCAUUUUGCUAAUAUUGCCAAUAUGGUGUCCAGUACCACUCUAUCGCCGUUUAAAACUGAGCGACUCCACAACAUGAAAUUGUAACGCCCAUGACAAUUUCACACCAUCGUCAAAGGGAGUUGCAAAUUUGUCAACAAGGUAUUUGCGUAAAGUAAUUGCAUGUUGAGUUUCUCAAUUUCAAACAACUCUGGCGGUAUCAAGCACUGACUAGCCCAGAUAUAACGUGGUAGUGGAAACCACGGUAUUGAAUUUGAGCGCAUUCAAUCUGUCUUAGUUGUAGGUCAAAUCACACCUUUAAAAGUGUGUGUACGUAGGGGUUCUAGUCUGUCGACCGUGUGUGUGUGUGUGCGUAGGGGUUCUAGUCUGUCAACCGUGUAUGGGGUUCUAGUCUGUCAACCGUGUGUGUGUGUGUGUGCGUGUAGGGGUUCUAGUCUGUCGACCGUGUGUGUGUGUGUGUGUACAUAGGGGUUCUAGUCUGCCGACUGUGUGUGUGUGUACAUAGGGGUUCUAGUCUGUCGACUGUGUGUGUGUGUACAUAGGGGUUCUAGUCUGUCGACUGUGUGUGUACAUAGGGGUUCUAGUCUGUCGACUGUGUGUGUACAUAGGGGUUCUGUUCUGUCGACUGUGUGUGUGUGUGUGUGUACAUAGGGGUUCUAGUCUGUCGACUGUGUGUGUGUGUGGGUUCUAGUCUGUCGACUGUGUGUGUGUGUGUGUGUACAUAGGGGUUCUAGUCUGUCGACUGUGUGUGUGUGUGUACAUAGGGGUUCUAGUCUGUCGACUGUGUGUGUGUGUACAUAGGGGUUCUAGUCUGUCGACUGUGUGUGUGUGUACAUAGGGGUUCUAGUCUGUCGACUGUGUGUGUGUGUACAUAGGGGUUCUAGUCUGUCGACUGUGUGUGUGUGGGGUUCUAGUCUGUACAUACAUAGGGGUUCUAG